AACGAACGUUAGCGGCGCGCUUAACACAUGCAAGUCGAGCGAGAAAGGGCUUCGGCCCCGGUAAAGCGGCGCACGGGUGAGUAACACGUAGGUAAUCUGCCCUCAGGUGGUGGAUAACUUUCCGAAAGGAAGGCUAAUACAGCAUGAGACCACGGUUCCGAAAGGGACAGGGGUCAAAGCCGGCCAAUUCAUGAAAGCUGGUGCCAGAGGAUGAGCCUGCGGCCCAUCAGCUAGUUGGUAGGGUAAUGGUCUACCAAGGCGAAGACGGGUAGCUGGUCUGAGAGGAUGAUCAGCCACACUGGAACUGAGACACGGUCCAGACUCCUACGGGAGGCAGCAGUGGGGAAUCUUGCGCAAUGGGCGAAAGCCUGACGCAGCGACGCCGCGUGAGUGAUGAAGGCCCUCGGGUUGUAAAGCUCUGUGGAGGGGGACGAAUAAGGGUUGGCUAAUAUCCAACUUGAUGACGGUACCCCUUUAGCAAGCACCGGCUAACUCUGUGCCAGCCGCCGCAGUAACAC
rnacentral:rRNA from 1 species